rnacentral:ncRNA from 1 species
CGCGUCGGCCCUGAAAAUUCCGAGUGAGGGAGUGUGAUUUUCGUUCCCGACCGUACCCACCAUCCGCAGCAGGUCUCCAAGGUGAACAAGCCUCUAGUCGAUGGACCAAUGUAGGUAAGGGAAGUCGGCAAAACGGAUCCGUAACCUUGGGAUAAGGAUUGGCUCUGAGGACUGAGCCGGUCGGGCUGGGGACCUGAAGCAGGAACGGCCACUGCACCGGGACUGGGCGGGGCUCGCCGUUCACGCGGGCGCGGCCAAGCCCGGACCAGCGUCGGGACCUUCCUGUGGAAAGCCUCAGCUGCGCGGCGUCUGAGGGCUUCGUGCCCAAAGUGCUAUGCUUCGGCCGGCAAAAAACAGUCAACUCAGAACUGGCACGGACCGGGGGAAUCCGACUGUCUAAUUAAAACAAAGCAUUGCGAUGGCCGCUGGUCGGUGUUGACGCAAUGUGAUUUCUGCCCAGUGCUCUGAAUGUCAACGUGAAGAGAUUCAUCAAAGCGCGGGUAAACGGCGGGAGUAACUAUGACUCUCUUGAAUAAAGUCCCGACCAUCAAAACUUCAUUGAUUUUUGGAAACGCACGAUGACUGAGACGCCUCCUGUGCCCCCGUUGGACGUCAAUCCGCCCACGGAAAUACAUGACGACCUAUGGAAACCGGUCACCAGGGAUGACAUACGAAAACAUCUCCCGCCGUGUUCUACGGCUACUGGUCCGGAUGGGAUGACUGCGAGAGAACUGAGGAGCGUUCCGUUCUCUCACCUGGCACUGCUAACGAACCUAAUCCUGGUUAUUGGAGAGGUUCCGCGGAUCCUGGCCGUCUCUCGGACUACUUUCAUACCGAAGGUACCCGAGGCGACUAA